GGCUGGUUCAAGUGCAGUGGUGUAUACAGCUAAUGCAUAACAACCAGUUACAGAUUCCUUUGUUCCUUCUUCACUCCCACUGCACAGAGACUUCCAUGA
rnacentral:Y_RNA from 1 species